AUGAACGCUAGCGACAGGCUUAACACAUGCAAGUCGAGGGGCAGCACAGGUAGCAAUACCGGGUGGCGACCGGCGCACGGGUGAGUAACGCGUAUGCAACUUGCCUAUCAGAGGGGGAUAACCCGGCGAAAGUCGGACUAAUACCGCAUGAAGCAGGGGCCCCGCAUGGGGAUAUUUGCUAAAGAUUCAUCGCUGAUAGAUAGGCAUGCGUUCCAUUAGGCAGUUGGCGGGGUAACGGCCCACCAAACCGACGAUGGAUAGGGGUUCUGAGAGGAAGGUCCCCCACAUUGGUACUGAGACACGGACCAAACUCCUACGGGAGGCAGCAGUGAGGAAUAUUGGUCAAUGGGCGUAAGCCUGAACCAGCCAAGUCGCGUGAGGGAUGAAGGUUCUAUGGAUCGUAAACCUCUUUUAUAAGGGAAUAAAGUGCGGGACGUGUCCCGUUUUGUAUGUACCUUAUGAAUAAGGAUCGGCUAACUCCGUGCCAGCAGCCGCGGUAAUACGGAGGAUCCGAGCGUUAUCCGGAUUUAUUGGGUUUAAAGGGUGCGUAGGCGGCCUUUUAAGUCAGCGGUGAAAGUCUGUGGCUCAACCAUAGAAUUGCCGUUGAAACUGGGGGGCUUGAGUAUGUUUGAGGCAGGCGGAAUGCGUGGUGUAGCGGUGAAAUGCAUAGAUAUCACGCAGAACCCCGAUUGCGAAGGCAGCCUGCCAAGCCAUUACUGACGCUGAUGCACGAAAGCGUGGGGAUCAAACAGGAUUAGAUACCCUGGUAGUCCACGCCGUAAACGAUGAGUGCUAAGUGUUAGGGGGUUUCCGCCCCUUAGUGCUGCAGCUAACGCAUUAAGCACUCCGCCUGGGGAGUACGACCGCAAGGUUGAAACUCAAAGGAAUUGACGGGGGCCCGCACAAGCGGAGGAACAUGUGGUUUAAUUCGAUGAUACGCGAGGAACCUUACCCGGGUUUGAACGCAUUCGGACCGAGGUGGAAACACCUUUUCUAGCAAUAGCCGUUUGCGAGGUGCUGCAUGGUUGUCGUCAGCUCGUGUCGUGAGAUGUUGGGUUAAGUCCCGCAACGAGCGCAACCCUUAAGCUUAGUUGCCAUCAUUAAGUUGGGCACUCUAAGUUGACUGCCGGUGACAAACCGGAGGAAGGUGGGGAUGACGUCAAAUCAUCAUGCCCCUUAUGACCUGGGCUACACACGUACUACAAUGGAUGUUAACAGAGGGAAGCAAGACAGCGAUGUGGAGCAAACCCCUAAAAACAUUCUCAGUUCAGAUUGCAGGCUGCAACCCGCCUGCAUGAAGAUGGAAUUGCUAGUAAUUGCAGGUCAGCAUACUGCAGUGAAUACGUUCUCGGGCCUUGUACACACCGCCCGUCACGCCAUGAGAGUCGAAAACACCCGAAGCCUGUGAGCCAACCGCAAGGGGGCAGCAGUCGAAGGUGGGUUUGGCGAUUGGGGUG
rnacentral:rRNA from 1 species